CCCAGUGUUGGGGUGUAUCUAGGUACUUGUACCUAGGUAUGUACCUAGGUAAUUUUUUUCGGUAUCUUUUACCUUACCUAGGUAAAAAAAUAUUUGGCUACCUUUUACCUUACCUAGGUACGAAUUUUCGUUUUAGCUAUGUAAGGUAUUUAGGUACUUCCAUACGUGUAUGUAAAUAUUGUGCAUAUUAGAAAUAGCCCUGCUUCACAGCAAUGCAAUCGAAAACUUAGAAAUAUGAUAGUUCCACCACUUACUCACAGAGGUCUUUAUGCAAUGCCGUUGCUACCUAAACAGUGCACUUUUAUCGAUGACAUCGGUUCCUAGAAAACGCCACAACAAAUCUUAAAAUGAGCGAAGAAGGCGCAGAAAAAAAGGAGCUACCAUUAAUUUUAAAUGGGACUUUCUUUUUACCGGACGGGAAGUGCAAACUGUGUUUGAACAAAACUAUCAAAUUUGAUGAAAAGUCAACCGGCAACUUGCAUAAACAUCUGAAGGGUUGACCCGAACAGUUAUUCUUCGUAUGAAGCUUUAAAAGCGAAAAAUUCAAAAAUAGAAGUGAAAAUUUCCGGUGAGGCAAAAGAUCGAAAAUCCUGCUUCAGUACUCUUAACUCAGUCCAGGUUAAUAAUGAAAUUUGUGACUACAUUGUAACGGAAAUGUUACCACUAUGUCAGGUCGAAAAAGCAAGCUUCAGAUCCCUUCUGUCAACAAUAUCAGGGCGAUCUAUUAAUAUACCGUGCCGGAAAACAAUCAAGACAA